GUGCGACGGCGCAGGUCUGCACCAUGGCGGCCCGGCUUGUGAGCCGAUGCGGGGCUGUGCGUGCAGCUCCCCACAGCGGCCCGCUGGCGUCCUGCCGCAGGUGGUCCGGCGCCUCAACAGACACCGUGUAUGACGUGGUGGUGUCGGGUGGAGGCCUGGUGGGCGCUGCCAUGGCCUGUGCCUUGGGAUAUGAUAUUCACUUUCAUGACAAGAAAAUCCUGUUGCUCGAAGCAGGUCCAAAGAAAGUACUGGAGAAAUUGUCAGAAACUUACAGCAACAGGGUCAGCUCCAUUUCCCCUGGCUCUGCAACGCUUCUCAGUAGUGAGUAGAAGAUCCUCCUUCAAAGAUCCAAUCUCCUUUCCUACUUAGCUCUCUAGUGUAUCCCAUGGGGCAGAGUCAUCAGAGCAUCUGACAAGGAGGGAGCUCACUGAGGUGGGUGGAGAGAGGGGGUGGGAUUGGUAGUCUAGGGCAGAGUUGAAGAUGUGGACCCCUGCAGUUGCUACUGCCUCAACUCCCUGUCUGAGGAAUGCAUCCUUGAGGCAUGUGGGUCCAUCAUGUUGACUU
rnacentral:sRNA from 1 species